GACGAACCACACAAACGUUAUUCGGAAUUACUGGGCUUAAAGGGUGCGUAGGCGGUGCGGAAAGUUAGGUGUGAAAUCCCCUGGCUCAACCAGGGAAUUGCGCUUAAAACUACCGUGCUAGAGGAAGAUAGAGGUGAGCGGAACUUCGGGUGGAGCGGUGAAAUGCGUUGAUAUCCGAAGGAACACCGGUGGCGAAAGCGGCUCACUGGAUCUUUUCUGACGCUGAUGCACGAAAGCUAGGGGAGCAAAC
rnacentral:rRNA from 1 species